AUGGAGGUGGGAUUCUUUUGCAAAACAAGUGCAGAGCAGGACAACUGGUUCAGCAACAAAUGGAAGAAACUCCUCAAGCAGCUGGAAUUCACAGAAUGCCUAGAAAAAAAGAUGGCCAUAAGCAAAGUCAAUUUGGAGGUUAUAAAUCUCUGGAUAACAAAAAGAGUAACUGAGACAUUGGAUUCAAAGGGAUGUUGUGAUUGAGUUCAUCUUCAACCAGCUGGAAGAGAAGCAUGUGGAUUCCAAAGUGAUGCAAAUCAACAUGACUGGAGUUUUGAAGAAUGCUAGAGAAUUCAUGGGAGAACUGUGGCCCCCUGCUGUUAAGUAUACAAGAAAAUAUCAGCUGAGUCCCUUCUGCCUUCCUAGAGUUGAAGAAGGAAGAGAUAAAACAGAGACAAAUUGAACUAGAAAAAUUGGCAUCUCUGAAAAAAAAAAUAGUUGAAGAUAAAGGUAAGAGGGAUAAAGAAGAAAAAGAAAGGAGCAGAGAGAAGAGGGAGUGAUCUCACAGCCCAAGAAGACCCGAAUCCAGAUCUCCUUCCCCUGGAAGAUCUUCCCCUGUCAGGAGAGAGAUCUCCUACAUCUCCCCAUCACAGAACCAAGAGCCUGAGCCCUUCCCCUGCCCCAGAAAAGGAGAAAUCUCUAGAGCUACCAGAACCAUCAGUGAGAAUGAAAGACUCUUCAGUACAGAAGGCCACAUUGACAAGUGACAUCCAGAAAGCUAACAAGCCUGAGCCUGUACCAGAGCCCAAAGAACUGUCUCCACAAAAAAAUUUCAAAAAGGGAAAGGAAAAGACUCGACCAAGAUCUCAGUCAAGUUCCAGAUCACGGCCUCAGACCCAUUUUCAAUCACCUUCUCAUACUAGACCAAGACAUCGACACAGAUCCCGAUCAAGAAGGCCAACAAGCCCAAGAAGAUGAUCGUCUCUCCGAGGAAGAACUCCACCAAGACAGAUCCCUCCUCCACCAAGGCACAGGAGGAGUAGGUCUCCAGGGAGACAAAGGAGGCGUCCUUCCUCAUCACUGCCUGGAAGUAGCUCCUUGUCCUCUUCAUCUCAUUCUGCAUCACCGCCAAAGAAGCCUCCCAAGAGGACACCCAGCCCUCCUUGGAAAAUGCUUAAGUUAUCACCUAAGGCAGGUCCUCCAAGGUGAAGGCACCGGUCAUCAUCUCCAGCAUCCACCACCCAAAACUCGCCAUUCCCCAACUCCCCAGCAGACAAAUUGUGCAAGAAAAAGUUGUGUUUCUGUGUCUCCAGGAAGAACCUCGGGUAAAGUAACAAAACAUAAAGGUACUGAGAAAAGAGAGUCACCUUCUCCAGUACCCAAGCCUAGAAAAGUGGAGUCUGAAGAAGGCAAAGGCAGCAACAUGACUACAACUGAUUCUGUGCAGCAGAGGAAACAAUACAGAUGACAGAAUCUGCAGCCUUCGUCUGAACAGCCCAUGAGAUCCCGUGUGAAGAAUGGUGAGGUAGGCUGGCAGCAGACACAGUCCCCUUCUCAGAGUGCCUCUCCAUCAUCUCGAAAGUGCCAAAGAGAGACUUCCCCUUGGUUGCAGAUGGGAAAGCGAUGGCAGUCGCCAGUGACUAAGUAGUAGAAGGAAAAGUCCCUCCCCGCCUCCUGCCAGAAGGCCAAUGAUCUUCUUUAGCCCCUCCUCCUCCCCCACUCCUAGCUCCUGGACGGCUCAGCCAACCCACCACCACAAUAAAGGACCCCUUCUCCUCCCCCACGCGAUCUCCAGAAGAGACUCUCCUCCCAUCCAGAAGAAAUACUUUCCUUCCCUACCUUCAAAAAGGAGAACGGCCUCACCCCCAUCCCUGCCCAAGGGAAGGGCAUUACCAUCUCCACCCCCAAAGUGCCAGGUCUCCCACUUUCCACCUCCUAAACAAAGAACGCCCCCCUACCCCCUAUCCCAAGAGAUGCUAGGCCUCCUUAUCUUCAAAGCAUAGGAAAGGGCCUUCCCCAGGUCACCCCACAGAAGGCGGUCUCCAUCCCCAAGUACUAGGCCUACUAGGAGAGUAACCAGAACUCCAGAGCCCUAAAAGAUAAUAAAGGCUGCCUCACCAAGCCCUCAUCCUGUAAGAAGGGUUUCAUUUUCCAGAUCUGUCUCUGGAUCUCCUGAGCCAGCAGCUAAAAAGCCUCCAGCACCCCGCUCUCCUGUGCAGUCUCAGUCACGCUCCACAAACUGGUCGCCUGCAGUACUAGUCAAAAAGCCUAAAAGCCUGACACCAAGCCCAUCCCCCACCAGGAACUCUGGUCAAGGAGGAGGUGGAAAGAAAAAGGAGGAGGACAAGAAACACAAGAAGCACAAAGACACAAGAAGGAGAAGGCUGUGGCUGUGGCCACCCCAGCUCCUGCAGCCCCCUGCAGCUGUUUCUGUUGCCUCCACCACAUCAGCACAGCAAGAGCCUGCAGCAGCACCAGAGCCCAGGAAGGAGUCUGAGAGUGUAGCUGAAGAUGACAACCAUGAUGUCUUAGAGAGGCACCUAUGGGAGAAGGCCCUGGGAUUCAUGGGAAAGGUUCAAGUGUCCCCAGUCCUAGGCAGACAUGUUUGUUACGUUGUAAAAUUUAUUUGGUUUGUACUCAGUUCAAUUUCAAAAAUUGCUCAAAUGUGUUUGGGCUUUAGACUAUAA